rnacentral:tmRNA from 1 species
GGGGGCGAUUGGUUUCGACUGAGAGAUUGAUCCCUCAGGUGGCAAGUCGAGGCGCCGCUGGCCUCGUUAAAAGCGGCAAAACCAUAAACGCGAAGAACACUUCUUUCGCCACAGCGCGGCCUUCGUUCGCGCUGGCUGCCUAACUUUUCCCUCGGGAACCGUUAGCCAGUAACCGCGCCGCCUAAGGGCGGCCCGUCCUGUCCCUUCUCGCCCGCCGAAGGGAGUCAGGGCGUUACCCACGCGGGCUACUGCGCCGGGACUGUCUCACGACCGGCGUGGGAACCAAAUUGAGAGGCUCGCGCAUCUCGCAGCCCGUCUGUCGGCGGCGAAUGCGUUAAAACCUAAAUGGCUGACUAUGCUUGUAGAAGCCUGAGUUUUCGCUGCUUGGGACGAGGGUUCGACUCCCUCCGCCUCCACCA